GCGGUAGUAGUGUAGUGGUUUAGCAUCGGUCGUUGCCAACGAUUGGACCCGAGUUCAAAUCUCGGCUACCGCACCA
rnacentral:tRNA from 1 species